AUUGAACGCUGGCGGCAUGCUUUACACAUGCAAGUCGAACGGUAACAGGUUAAGCUGACGAGUGGCGAACGGGUGAGUAAUGCAUCGGAACGUGCCCGGUCGUGGGGGAUAACGCAGCGAAAGCUGCGCUAAUACCGCAUACGAUCUGAGGAUGAAAGCGGGGGACCGUAAGGCCCGCGCGAUCGGAGCGGCCGAUGUCAGAUUAGGUAGUUGGUGGGGUAAAGGCUCACCAAGCCAACGAUCUGUAGCUGGUCUGAGAGGACGACCAGCCACACUGGGACUGAGACAUGGCCCAGUCUCCUACGGGGGGCAGCAGUGGGGAAUGUUGGACAAUGGGCGAAAGCCUGAUCCAGCAAUGCCGCGUGCAGGAAGAAGGCCUUCGGGUUGUAAACUGCUUUUGUACGGAGCGAAAAGGUCUCCUCUAAUACAGGGGGCUCAUGACGGUACCGUAAGAAUAAGCACCGGCUAACUACGUGCCAGCCGCCGCAGUAA
rnacentral:rRNA from 1 species